rnacentral:rRNA from 1 species
UGCCAGCCGCCGCGGUAAUACGGAGGGUGCAAGCGUUAAUCGGAAUUACUGGGCGUAAAGCGUACGUAGGUGGCUUGGUCAGUCAGAUGUGAAAUCCCCGGGCUCAACCUGGGAACUGCAUUUGAUACUGCUAAGCUAGAGUAUGGGAGAGGAUAGUGGAAUUCCAGGUGUAGCGGUGAAGUGCGUAGAUAUCUGGAGGAACAUCAGUGGCGAAGGCGGCUAUCUGGACCAAUACUGACACUGAGGUACGAAAGCGUGGGUAGCAAACAGGAUUAGAUA